AAUGAGAUAGACCGUCUCGCACUAUGAGGGUUCGAAGCCGUUCGCUCGCCAUAUAGAGCAGAUGGUAAGUAAUUUUUAUUUAGCAUAUUUUAACUUUUUAACUAUUUAAAAAAAAAUUUAUUAAUUAUUCUCAAAUUACAAAGAGAUAUAGAAAGUGGCGAGCUUCCUAGUAGGAUCGAGAUCUAUCAGCGACGAUGAUCAAGAGAGUGGAUG
rnacentral:lncRNA from 1 species